GCGGCAGUAGUGUAGUGGUUAGCACACAGGCCUUCAAAGCCUGCGGGGCAUCUCCAGUGUCCAGGGGUGGGUUCGAAUCCCAUCUGCCGCUCAA
rnacentral:tRNA from 1 species